rnacentral:rRNA from 1 species
UGAGGAAUAUUGGUCAAUGGCCGGAAGGCUGAACCAGCCAAGUCGCGUGAGGGAAGACGGCCCUACGGGUUGUAAACCUCUUUUGUCAGGGAGCAAACCUCUCCACGCGUGGGGAGUCGAGAGUACCUGAAAGAAAAAGCAUCGGCUAACUCCGUCGCC